CCUACGGGUGGCAGCAGUGGGGAAUAUUGGACAAUGGGGGGAACCCUGAUCCAGCCAUGCCGCGUGUGUGAAGAAGGCCCUCGGGUUGUAAAGCACUUUCAGUGAGGAAGAACGCCUGGUGGUUAAUACCCAUCAGGAAAGACAUCACUCACAGAAGAAGCACCGGCUAACUCCGUGCCAGCAGCCGCGGUAAUACGGAGGGUGCGAGCGUUAAUCGGAAUUACUGGGCGUAAAGCGCGCGUAGGUGGCUUGAUAAGCCGGUUGUGAAAGCCCCGGGCUCAACCUGGGAACGGCAUCCGGAACUGUCAAGCUAGAGUGCAGGAGAGGAAGGUAGAAUUCCCGGUGUAGCGGUGAAAUGCGUAGAGAUCGGGAGGAAUACCAGUGGCGAAGGCGGCCUUCUGGACUGACACUGACACUGAGGUGCGAAAGCGUGGGUAGCAAACAGGAUUAGAUACCCCGGGUAGUC
rnacentral:rRNA from 1 species